rnacentral:lncRNA from 1 species
CCCCCGCCUGCCCCGGGCUGUGCAGUCUGGUGGCUGAGGGCAGCUGAGCCGCCUGCUGAGUCAUAAACUGCUGCUCCAAGGCUGCGGACAACCCGGCGUCUCGGGCUGCAGGGUCAGUGUUGUGGGGCGGGGAAUGCAGGGUGCGCGCGUGUGCGUGUGUGUGUGCGUGCGUGUGUGUGUGUGUGUGUGUGUGUGUCCACGCACGUGCUGGGAGGCUGAGGCAGGAGAAUCGCCGGGAGUUGAGGUCUCACCGAACUGCACCGGAGACCCCGUGUGCACACACGUACCUGGCCUUUCCCUUCUCUGCUCAGAUUGCCAGAGCUACGUGGCCCUGCUCAGCCCCUGUCCUGCCGUCCGACCCAGCCCCUGCGGCUGCCGGGCGCUGUCCCCGGAGGAGCAGGUGUGCAGCUGGCGCUCGGUCCUCAACAGUACUUCGGACUUCUACUACAUCGAAGAAAACAUGCACGCAUCUCCACAGAGCUCGGCCGGAAGCCAAGCGGCUCCUGUGGUCUCCCAGCCCCGAGGAGGAAAAGGUAUGUGGGCGGUGAACGAGCAGCUCAGGAGCAGUUUACAUCACCCGAAGCUGCUUAAGCAACCCUACUCCAGGUGGGAAUCUCUUGGAAUAAAAAUGUACUUCUCCAGAAAAGAAAAAGCAGGAAAAUCUACUCAAAUCUUUUGCAGAAUGUUCCAUACCAGUUUAACGUACCAUAAAUUUGGAGUUGAGGGGGGGCGGUACUGGGGAUGGAAGCUGCAUCCCCAGCCCUUUGAAAUUUUGAGACAGGUUCUCACUAAGUCACUAAGUUGCCCAGGCUGGACUGGAACUUGUGAUCUUCCUGCCUCAGCCUCCCAGAGUGCUGGGGUUCCAGGCGUGCACCACCAGGCCCCGCUGAACUGUGAUUUCAGGGCAUCAGAUGGUGAUGGUCUCAGCGGACUCUCCCACUGUGUACGAUGUGGUCUCCUCCCGCAGUGGCUUGAACCUGGACAGAUCCCUCGACCUUCUAAUCCACAGUUCCUUUAUCCCAAACAGUAACGGCAAUAUUAACUGCAGGAGAAGACUGCCGUAAUUAUUAAAUCAGGCCGGCGUGGUAGCUGAGGCAGGAGGGUCUCAGUGAGUUUGAGGCCAGCCGGGACUAUAUGUAGCAGGACAAUUUAAGGUUAUAUAUUAUCAUAGUUUUUAAAAAAAUAUUGUACUUUAUUUUUGGGGUUUUGUUUUUGUUUUCUUUCAGUUUUUCUUUUUUAUCUAAAGUUAUUUUAAAUGAGUAUUUUUCAAAAGCUAUUUUUUGUUCCUAUACCGCU